rnacentral:rRNA from 1 species
GACGAACGCUGGCGGCGUGCUUAACACAUUCAAGUCGAGCGGAGCGGCGAACGGGUGAGUAACGCGUGAGUAACUGCUCCCCUACCUGGGGUAACAGUUGGCAACGGCUGCUAAUACCGGAUAGUGGGGGAUGACUCGCGGCCUAUCAACGUGUUGGUUGGGUAGUGGCCUAUCAAGGCGACGACGGAUAGCCGGCCUGAGAGGGCGACCGGCCACAUUGGGCUGAGAUACGGCCCAAACUCCUACGGGAGGCAGCAGUGGUGAAUAUUGCACAAUGGGGGAAACCCUGAUGCAGCAACGUCGCGUGCGGGAUGACGGCCUUCUGGUUGUAAACCGCUUACAGCCAUGACGCGGUAGUGGCAGAAGAAGCACCGGCUAACUACGUGCCAGCAGCCGCGGUAAUAC